ACGUUGGUGGUUCAGUGGUAGAAUUCUCUCCAUCCAUGCAGGAGACCCAGGUUCGAUUCCUGGCCAGUGCA
rnacentral:tRNA from 1 species